rnacentral:rRNA from 1 species
UGGGGAAUCAUGGUCAAUGGGCGAAAGCCUGAACCUGCGACGCCGCGUGAGUGAUGAAGGUCGUCAGAUCGUAAAACUCUUUUCAGUGAUCUUAAAGCCUGUCUGUCAACAACAGGCAGGUCUGACUCUCCCUGGAGGAAGCCCCAGCCAACUACGUGCCAGCAGCUGCGGUACUACGUAGGGGGCGAGCGUUAUUCGGAAUUACUGGGUGUAAAGGGUAUGUAGGCGGCCCUUCAAGUCGCGUGUCAAAGUCCAGUGCUGAACGCUGGGUGUGCACGCGAUACUGACGGGCUUGAGGGCUGGAGAGGUGAGCGGAAUUCCCGGUGUAGUGGUAAAAUACGUAGAGAUCGGGAGGAACACCAGCGGCGCAGGCGGCUCACUAGACAGUUUCUGACGCUAAGAUGCGAAGGCGUGGGGGGCAAACA